rnacentral:antisense_RNA from 1 species
CUUCACCGAGCCGAGCCACAGCGGCUCUUCGCGGUUCUGCCCAUAAAUGGAGAGCAGCGCCUGAGCCUC